rnacentral:rRNA from 1 species
CCCUUAGAUGUCCUGGGCCGCACGCGCGCUACACUGAGUGUCUGAGAUACGAGUCUGCCUAGCCGGCGAGGUCUAGGUAAUCGCUGAAAGACACAUCAUGCUUGGGAUAGAUUAUUGCAGAUAUUAAUCUUGAACGAGGAAUUCCUAGUAAGCGCAAGUCAACAGCUUGCGUUGAUUACGUCCCUGCCCUUUGUACACACCGCCCGUCGCUACUACCGAUUGAAUGGCUUAGUGAGCCUUUGGGAUUGGCAGCCAACACCGGCAACGGUAGCUGGCCGCCGAAAACUUAUGCAAACUUGGUCAUUUAGAGGAAGUAAAAGUCGUAACA